UACGUAGGGGGCAAGCGUUGUCCGGAUUUAUUGGGCGUAAAGAGCGUGUAGGCGGCCAGACAGGUCCGUUGUGAAAACUCGAGGCUCAACCUCGAGACGCCGAUGGAAACCGUCUGGCUAGAGUCCGGAAGAGGAGAGUGGAAUUCCCGGUGUAGCGGUGAAAUGCGCAGAUAUCGGGAAGAACACCGGUGGCGAAGGCGGGUCUCUGGGCCGAUACUGACGCUGAGGAGCGAAAGCGUGGGGAGCGAACAGG
rnacentral:rRNA from 1 species